GACGAACGCUGGCGGCGUGCCUAACACAUGCAAGUCGAGCGCGAAAGCGGGGCAACCCGGCAAGUAGAGCGGCGAACGGGUGAGUAACGCGUGGGUGAUCUACCUCCGAGUGGGGAACGAACAUCGGGAAACUGGUGCUAAUACCGCAUGACAUCCUCAGGUCACACUGAGGAUCAAAGCCGGGGACCGUAAGGCCUGGCGCUUGGAGAGGAGCCCGCGUCCGAUUAGCAGUUGGCGGGGUAACGGCCCACCAAGGCGACGAUCGGUAGCCGGCCUGAGAGGGCGGACGGCCACACUGGGACUGCGACACGGCCCAGACUCCGUACGGGAGGCAGCAGUGGGGUAAUUUUUCGCAAUGGGCGCAAGCCUGACGAAGCAACGCCGCGU
rnacentral:rRNA from 1 species